UAGGGAACCUUCCACAAUGGACGAAAGUCUGAUGGAGCAACGCCGCGUGAGUGAUGAAGGGUUUCGGCUCGUAAACUCUGUUGUUAGAGAAGAACAGGUGUCAGAGUAACUGUUGACAUCUUGACGGUAUCCAACCAGAAAGCCACGGCUAACUACGUGCCAGCAGCCGCGGUAAUACGUAGGUGGCAAGCGUUGUCCGGAUUCAUUGGGCGUAAAGCGAGCGCAGGCGGUUUCUUAGGUCUGAUGUGAAAGCCUUCGGCUUAACCGGAGAAGUGCAUCGGAAACCAGGAGACUUGAGUGCAGAAGAGGACAGUGGAACUCCAUGUGUAGCGGUGAAAUGCGUAGAUAUAUGGAAGAACACCAGUGGCGAAGGCGGCUGUCUGGUCUGUAACUGACGCUGAGGCUCGAAAGCAUGGGUAGCGAACAGGAUUAGAUACCCUGGUAGUCCAUGCCGUAAACGAUGAGUGCUAAGUGUUGGAGGGUUUCCGCCCUUCAGUGCUGCAGCUAACGCAUUAAG
rnacentral:rRNA from 1 species